rnacentral:lncRNA from 1 species
GCAUUUUUCAAAUCUCUUUUCCACAUGCAUUACAUCAUCUGAUUCUAAGGCAGGCAGUGAAUGUCACAGUGCAGAAUACUCAUGGAAAUUCAGAGUAACUAACAUGCCUAAGUGAAAAUAAAUACAAUUCUCUAUAUAUUUCCAUAGUUGAUUACAUUCAUCUAAAUCAAAUGAAGAUGGUAUCUGAGAGAACAGCUGAUGUUAAGAAAGGUUUUGAUAAAUACCACAUUAAAUCAUACAAGUGACAGAGGACAGACAAUAUUUAGUGCAAUGGAGUAACAGAAUCUUUUCCAUUUACAAAAUGCUAUCAUUAAUAUUUUUUGAAGUUUUUAAGCUCUCUGCUAUCCCUAUUUUUCAGAUAAGACAAGAAGCCAAGAGAGGCAUGUUUGCCUAUUAUUAUGUAAGUAAGAGUUCAGUGAUCUUUUCUACACUAAAGUUGCCUCAGAGAGUCUGAUUGGAGUUUAAGGGUUCAUUUCACAAUCUGAAAUUGCCUUUUCAUAAUCUUUUUGCUUGGAUAUUGGAGGAAUUUUGCUAUUUUAAGAAGGCAUU